UUAAAACUCUCCUUUAAAAAAGUCUUUAAAAAGAGGGUUUAAAGAAGAAUAUUAAGUACUAACUUUCUCCUCUGGUGACAUGUGGAUAUAGCAAAAACUAAGAUGCUGAGUAACUGAAGUUGGGAGAAUGUGUUCCUGGGUCUGCCCACACCCGGGACUGCUACUGUUGAUCUUCACAAAGCCCAAGGGCAGGAGGCAGGGCUGCAACACCCACCUGCAGGGCCCCCCUCUCACCCCCCAGCGAUGCACCAGGAAACAGACCUUGAAACCUGGAAGGACAGGGUGGGCCUGGGAUUCCAUUCCAUCCCCUUCAGAGGAAGCCUAGGGAAGGCGAGCGGUGCAGUCCACAUCCAGCUGCCUGGGAACUCCAGCAUAUAUCCAGCCAAGGAAAGUCCCCCAAAUUCCCUCUUUUAAAAUAUAGAACUUUAUUUUAGUUGCUGAGUUUUCAUAAGCGUUUGGUUCACAGAAAAGUCAUUUCUUACAAAAUAAUAAAGGCAGCAUUUUGUACAGCGACUCACAUUGGGGCCACCAGAGAAGUGCAAAGGACAGUGGGGAUGGAAGAGGCCGGCGCUCUUGUGCCUAAGGUCCUCAAGAAGCCCGCGCUCCUGGCUCCCUCCAGCCCCCUCCCACCCUACCUGGGACCUGGGAGAGCAGCACCAGAGGGCCUGGCAGAAGUGGCCUGGGAAGCCAUUGGUGAGGUGCACGACAGCGACCCCAACAGACUGGUGAAGGCCUGGCAUGAAAGGCCGAGUGGGAGGGGAUUGUUCAGGUACAGAGGCUCCUGCAUCCAACCCCGUUUCUCAAGCAGCCAGGGCAGGGUCUGAGCCCGCCUAGAACCUUGAUACUCACAGUACAGCUCAGUGAAGCCCUUUGGGAACUGGCCUUCCUCUGCCCACUCGGGGCUACAGACCCUACCCCAGCCCUAGGCUGGGUACUGGGAACAGAGACAGUGAGAUGGGGCCUAUGCAGGUGAGUGGGACAGGGAUGGGCCUGGAGAACACCAGGCGGAAAGGGCUCCGUACAGAGGCGGCU